UCUCAAUGUGUUGGUUGCCAUUCUGUCC
rnacentral:piRNA from 1 species